ACCUACAACCAUACCACCUUGAAAGUGCCCAAUCUCAUCUCAUGGUGGAAACUAAGCAGGGUCAGGCAUGGUUAGUAAUUGAAUGGGAGAAUGAGAAUUUUACUAACAGGUUAUAUAUA
ensembl:rRNA 5S_rRNA 5S ribosomal RNA